rnacentral:misc_RNA from 1 species
GAUGAGAACGUAGCGAAAUGCGAUAAGUAAUGUGAAUUGCAGAAUUCAGUGAAUCAUCGAAUCUUUGAACGCACAUUGCGCCCCCUGGUAUUCCGGGGGGCAUGCCUGUCCGAGCGUCAUUACAACCCUCAAGCUCAGCUUGGUGUUGGGCCCCGCCGCCCCGGCGGGCCCUAAAGUCAGUGGCGGUGCCGUCCGGCUCCGAGCGUAGUAAUUCUUCUCGCUCUGGAGGUCCGGUCGUGUGCUCGCCAGCAACCCCAAUUUUUUUCAGGUUGACCUCGGAUCAGGUAGGGAUACCCGCUGAACUUAAGCAUAUCAAUAAGCGGAGGA